AGUGAACGCUGGCGGUAGGCCUAACACAUGCAAGUCGAACGGCAGCACAGGAGAGCUUGCUCUCUGGGUGGCGAGUGGCGGACGGGUGAGGAAUACAUCGGAAUCUACUUUUUCGUGGGGGAUAACGUAGGGAAACUUACGCUAAUACCGCAUACGACCUACGGGUGAAAGCAGGGGAUCUUCGGACCUUGCGCGAUUGAAUGAGCCGAUGUCGGAUUAGCUAGUUGGCGGGGUAAAGGCCCACCAAGGCGACGAUCCGUAGCUGGUCUGAGAGGAUGAUCGGCGACACUGGAACUGAGACACGGUCCAGACUCCUACGGGAGGCAGCAGUGGGGAAUAUUGGACAAUGGGCGCAAGCCUGAUCCAGCCAUACCGCGUGGGUGAAGAAGGCCUUCGGGUUGUAAAGCCCUUUUGUUGGGAAAGGAAUCCAGCUGGCUAAUACCCGGUUGGGAUGACGGUACCCAAAGAAUAAGCACCGGCUAACUUCGUGCCAGCCGCCGCAGUAA
rnacentral:rRNA from 1 species